GGGAAUCUACCGUGCCCUGCGGAAUAGCUCCGGGAAACUGGAAUUAAUACCGCAUACGCCCUACGGGGGAAAGAUUUAUCGGGGUAUGAUGAGCCCGCGUUGGAUUAGCUAGUUGGUGGGGUAAAGGCCUACCAAGGCGACGAUCCAUAGCUGGUCUGAGAGGAUGAUCAGCCACAUUGGGACUGAGACACGGCCCAAACUCCUACGGGAGGCAGCAGUGGGGAAUAUUGGACAAUGGGCGCAAGCCUGAUCCAGCCAUGCCGCGUGAGUGAUGAAGGCCUUAGGGUUGUAAAGCUCUUUCACCGGAGAAGAUAAUGACGGUAUCCGGAGAAGAAGCCCCGGCUAACUUCGUGCCAGCAGCCGCGGUAAUACGAAGGGGGCUAGCGUUGUUCGGAAUUACUGGGCGUAAAGCGCACGUAGGCGGAUAUUUAAGUCAGGGGUGAAAUCUCAGAGCUCAACUCUGGAACUGCCUUUGAUACUGGGUAUCUUGAGUAUGGAAGAGGUAAGUGGAAUUGCGAGU
rnacentral:rRNA from 1 species